UUGAACGCUGGCGGAAUGCUUUACCCAUGCAAGUCGAACGGCAGCACGGGGGCAGCCCUGGUGGCGAGUGGCGAACGGGUGAGUAAUACAUCGGAACGUGCCCGGUCGUGGGGGAUAACGUAGCGAAAGUUACGCUAAUACCGCAUACGAUCUGAGGAUGAAAGCGGGGGACCUUCGGGCCUCGCGCGAUCGGAGCGGCCGAUGUCAGAUUAGGUAGUUGGUGGGGUAAAGGCCUACCAAGCCGACGAUCUGUAGCUGGUCUGAGAGGACGACCAGCCACACUGGGACUGAGACACGGCCCAGACUCCUACGGGAGGCAGCAGUGGGGAAUUUUGGACAAUGGGCGCAAGCCUGAUCCAGCCAUUCCGCGUGCAGGACGAAGGCCUUCGGGUUGUAAACUGCUUUUGUACGGAACGAAAAGGCUCUGGCUAAUACCUGGGGCUCAUGACGGUACCGUAAGGAUAAGCACCGGCUAACUACGUG
rnacentral:rRNA from 1 species